rnacentral:rRNA from 1 species
UACGUAGGGUGCAAGCGUUAAUCGGAAUUACUGGGCGUAAAGCGUGCGCAGGUGGUUUUACAAGACCGACGUGAAAGCCCCGGGCUCAACCUGGGAACUGCGUUGGUGACUGUAAGACUAGAGUGUGGCAGAGGGGGGUGGAAUUCCACGUGUAGCAGUGAAAUGCGUAGAUAUGUGGAGGAACACCGAUGGCGAAGGCAGCCCCCUGGGUUAACACUGACACUCAUGCACGAAAGCGUGGGGAGCAAACAGG